rnacentral:rRNA from 1 species
UGGGGAAUCUUGCGCAAUGGGCGAAAGCCUGACGCAGCGACGCCGCGUGAGUGAUGAAGGCCUUCGGGUUGUAAAGCUCUGUGGGGAGAGACGAAUAAGUGCAAGCUAAUACCUUGCAUGAUGACGGUAUCUCCUUAGCAAGCACCGGCUAACUCUGUGCCAGCAGCCGCGGUAAGACAGAGGGUGCAAACGUUGUUCGGAAUUACUGGGCGUAAAGCGAGUGUAGGCGGUCUUGAAAGUCGGAUGUGAAAGCCCUGGGCUCAACCCAGGAAGUGCAUUCGAUACUCCGAGGCUAGAGUACUGGAGAGGUGGGUGGAAUUCUCGGUGUAGAGGUGAAAUUCGUAGAUAUCGAGAGGAACACCGGCGGCGAAGGCGGCCCACUGGACAGAUACUGACGCUGAGACUCGAAAGCGUGGGGAGCAAACAGGAUUAGAUACCCCGGUAGUCC